rnacentral:rRNA from 1 species
GGGGGAGUACCGAAUUUUAAAACUCAUCAACCCUGUGAACAUACCUAAAACGUUGCCUCGGCGGGAACAGACGGCCCCGUAACACGGGCCGCCCCCGCCAGAGGACCCCCUAACUCUGUUUCUAUAAUGUUUCUUCUGAGUAAACAAGCAAAUAAAUUAAAACUUUCAACAACGGAUCUCUUGGCUCUGGCAUCGAUGAAGAACGCAGCGAAAUGCGAUAAGUAAUGUGAAUUGCAGAAUUCAGUGAAUCAUCGAAUCUUUGAACGCACAUUGCGCCCGCCAGUAUUCUGGCGGGCAUGCCUGUUCGAGCGUCAUUACAACCCUCAGGCCCCCGGGCCUGGCGUUGGGGAUCGGCGGAAGCCCCCUGCGGGCACAACGCCGUCCCCCAAAUACAGUGGCGGUCCCGCCGCAGCUUCCAUUGCGUAGUAGCUAACACCUCGCAACUGGAGAGCGGCGCGGCCACGCCGUAAAACACCCAACUUCUGAAUGUUGACCUCGAAUCAGGUAGGAAUACCCGCUGAACUUAAGCAUAUCAAUAAGCGGAGAAA